rnacentral:rRNA from 1 species
UACGAAGGGGGCUAGCGUUGCUCGGAAUCACUGGGCGUAAAGCGCACGUAGGCGGAUUGCUAAGUCAGGGGUGAAAUCCUGGAGCUCAACUCCAGAACUGCCUUUGAUACUGGCGACCUUGAGUCCGGGAGAGGUGAGUGGAACUGCGAGUGUAGAGGUGAAAUUCGUAGAUAUUCGCAAGAACACCAGUGGCGAAGGCGGCGCACUGGCCCGGUACUGACGCUGAGGUGCGAAAGCGUGGGGAGCAAACAGG